GGGACACGUGGUAUCCUGUCUGAAUAUGGGGGGACCAUCCUCCAAGGCUAAAUACUCCUGACUGACCGAUAGUGAACCAGUACCGUGAGGGAAAGGCGAAAAGAACCCCGGCGAGGGGAGUGAAAAAGAACCUGAAACCGUGUACGUACAAGCAGUGGGAGCACGCUUAGGCGUGUGACUGCGUACCUUUUGUAUAAUGGGUCAGCGACUUAUAUUCUGUAGCAAGGUUAACCGAAUAGGGGAGCCGAAGGGAAACCGAGUCUUAACUGGGCGUUAAGUUGCAGGGUAUAGACCCGAAACCCGGUGAUCUAGCCAUGGGCAGGUUGAAGGUUGGGUAACACUAACUGGAGGACCGAACCGACUAAUGUUGAAAAAUUAGCGGAUGACUUGUGGCUGGGGGUGAAAGGCCAAUCAAACCGGGAGAUAGCUGGUUCUCCCCGAAAGCUAUUUAGGUAGCGCCUCGUGAAUUCAUCUCCGGGGGUAGAGCACUGUUUCGGCAAGGGGGUCAUCCCGACUUACCAACCCGAUGCAAACUGCGAAUACCGGAGAAUGUUAUCACGGGAGACACACGGCGGGUGCUAACGUCCGUCGUGAAGAGGGAAACAACCCAGACCGCCAGCUAAGGUCCCAAAGUCAUGGUUAAGUGGGAAACGAUGUGGGAAGGCCCAGACAGCCAGGAUGUUGGCUUAGAAGCAGCCAUCAUUUAAAGAAAGCGUAAUAGCUCACUGGUCGAGUCGGCCUGCGCGGAAG
rnacentral:rRNA from 1 species